rnacentral:rRNA from 1 species
CCAGCAGCCGCGGUAAUACGGAGGGUGCAAGCAUUGAUCGGAUUUACUGGGCGUAAAGGGCGCGUAGGCGGUUUUGUAAGUCAGAUGUGAAAUUCCGGGGCUCAACCUCGGAGCUGCAUUUGAAACUACAAAGCUAGAGUUCAGUUAGGGUAAACGGAAUUCCACGUGUAGCGGUGAAAUGCGUAGAUAUGUGGAAGAACACCCGUGGUGAAGACGUUACUGGCUGAGACUGACGUGAGGCCGAAAGCAUGGGAGCAACAGAUAGAUACCUGGUAGUCCAUGCCUUAAACGAUGCAUACUAGGUUAGGAGGGCUCAACCCCUCUGUACCGGAGCUAACGCAUUAAGUAUGCCGCCUGGGGAGUACGCUCGCAAGGGUGAAACUCAAAAGAAUUGACGGGGGCCCGCACAAGCAGUGGAGCAUGUGGUUUAAUUCGAUGCAACGCGAAGAACCUUACCUGGGCUCGAAAUAUAGAGGACGACAACAGAGAUGUUGUUUCUCGAAAGGGUCUUUAUAUAGGUGCUGCAUGGCUGUCGUCAGCUCGUGCCGUGAGGUGUUUGGUUAAGUCCAGCAACGAGCGCAACCCUUAUCAUUAGUUGCCAGCGCGUAAUGGCGGGAACUCUAAUGAGACUGCCUGGGUUAACCAGGAGGAAGGUGAGGAUGACGUCAAGUCCGCAUGGCCUUUAUGUCCAGGGCUACACACGUGCUACAAUGGUCGGUACAGAAGGCAGCGAAACCGUAAGGCGGAGCAAAUCCUGUAAAACCGAUCUCAGUUCAGAUUGUAGUCUGCAACUCGGCUACAUGAAGUUGGAAUUGCUAGUAAUGGCGUGUCAGCAACAACGCCGUGAAUACGUUCCCGGGCCUUGUACACACCGCCCGUCACAUCAUGGGAGUUGGUUUUACCCGAAGUCACUGACCCAACCGCAAGGAGGGAGGUGCCUAAGGUAAGGCCGAUGACUGGGAUGAAGUCGUAACAAGGUAGCCGAU